rnacentral:rRNA from 1 species
AUGAGAUACGACAUAAUCAAGGGGAUUUGCACUGGUAUGCAUUUCCUUCAUGAUGAAUGCCAUAUCAUCCAUCUGGACCUAAAGCCAGAAAAUAUAUUGAUGGACUCUACCAUGACACCAAAAAUCGCGGAUUUUGGUUUAUCAAGGAUCUUUGGAGAGCAACAAUCACGAAUUAUCACUGAUAAUCGUACUGGAACAUGUGGAUAUAUGGCGCCAGAAUACUUAAUCCGAGGUUUAGUCUCAAAGAAGGCAGAUAUCUUCAGUAUGGGUGUCAUAGUCAUAGAGAUAAUUACAGGUCAUAGGGACUAUCCAUAUUUCCAGCAAGAUAAUCCGCACAGGACUGCAGCAUCACUCCAGCAGUUCACAGACAAAGUGCUCCUUAGCUGGACGAACAAACUCAUAUCCACACCAGACAAUAAAUCAACAGAAAGAUCUAUCCGACAAGUAAGACAAUGUAUUGGUAUAGCCCUUGAAUGUGUGGACCCUAGCAUGGAGAAAAGACCUACUGCAAAGGAUAUACUCGAAAUGCUUAAUGGAUUAGACAAGGGUAUGCCACUGAUGCCUUUGCCUGAAUCAAACAAUAUCAAUGAGAUAGUAAAGUGGUGGGCAGCGAAGGCAUCCAGUAAGCCACAAUCAGCAAGGGGCACAACCAUUGCACAGGCAAUCCCAACUUUAACACAGAUCAUAUCUAGGGAGGUCCCUAAGGAGCGCAUGAUUUCGCUAGACAUAAAUCAGACAGAGUCAUGUUACUAUGCAAUAAUUUGGGUCGUGUGCAUCUUCAGAUGCAGAAGGGUGACCCUUGGACCCCCACCAUCUUCUGAAAAUGUACAAUGCCCAAGAGGGUUCCACACCCUCCCCUCCCUCUCUCGCUUACGUGAUGAGUUAGGAACAAACCCAGGAGGAAGUACAUUUUCUAGGCGGACACAAGGGCCUGGGAGUGGCAAAAUCUAUGUGUAUAGCUAUAAACCGGAGGUGCAGAUAAUCAGGAGUUUUCGUGUUAAGAGAUACUUAUUAGGAAUCAACUCACUGGCCGUUCAUCCAACCCAACCGUAUGUGUUGUCAUCAUGUAGUGGGUACAUACAGCUUUGGGACUGGGACAAGAACUGGGAGUGCAUCAAAACAUUUGAGAAAUUAUCCUAUUUUGGGAUGGAAUUGCAACUUGCAUUUAACCCAAAGGACACCAACGAAUUUGCUAGUGUUUCACCCGAUCUGACAGCAAAGCUUUGGAGUCUCGAUUCACCCAAGCCUAACUAUAUUCUGGCUGGGCAUUCAGACAAAGUGAAUUGUGUAGAUUUCUUCACAACUGAUGAUAAUCAACAGUAUUUGAUUACUGGCUCUAGUGAUAAGUUUGCGAAGAUAUGGGACAUGCAGACAAAAACAUGUGUCCAAACAUUUGGAGAAUUCAAGUCUUCGGUUAUUUCUGUUGUUUCCCAUCCCAGUCUUCCAGUUUUAAUUAUAGGCACAAGAGAUGGUGCUAUUCAUUUGUGGGGCACAAAUUUCAGGUACAAGCGACAACUUAGCAUUGGCGGUCCUGGAGGUGCUAAUGGUCUCACAUGUCUGACGGCGUUAGGAAGGGUUGUGAUGGGAAAUGAGUCGGCGCUAUUCAUGAUGGAGAUCCUUGAUGAAGAACCAGAUGCUCCUGUCGGAAGUGAAGAAGCAGUUGGUAGCUCGGGCAGCAAUUGA